CCUACGGGUGGCAGCAGUGAGGAAUAUUGCACAAUGGGCGCGAGCCUGAACCAGCCAAGUAGCGUGAAGGAUGACUGCCCUACGGGUUGUAAACUUCUUUUAUGAAGGAAUAAAGUGAGGCACGAGUGCCUUUUUGGAUGUACUUUAUGAAUAAGGUUCGGCUAACUCCGGUCCAGCAGCCGCGGUAAUACGGAGGAUCCGAGCGUUAUCCGGAUUGACUGGGUUUAAAGGGAGCGUAGCUGGGGUGUUAAGUCAGUUGUGAAAGUUUCCGGCUCAACCGUCAAAUUGCAAUUGAUACUGGCAGCCUUGAGUACAGUAGAGGUAGGCGGAAUUCGUGGUGUAGCGGUGAAAUGCUUAGAUAUCGCGAAGAACUCCGAUUGCGAAGGCAGCCUCCUAGACUGACACUGACGUUGAGGCUCGAAAGUGUGGGUAUCAAACAGGAUUAGAUACCCCAGUAGUC
rnacentral:rRNA from 1 species